rnacentral:lncRNA from 1 species
AAAAAUAGAAAAUAUAAUUGAUAUGCUGGUAAGCUGAAUCAUGUAUUUAUGAAUUUUAAAAAAAUGUUAAUUGCUUAGAUGCUUCUGUGUUCUCGACGAAAACACGAAAAUUAUACAGUAACUGAAUCGUUGAGAUGUACAUGAUAUUUUUCACAGAAACAAGUGAGAUAUUUUUCAAUCAUAGUUAUUUUAUCGAAGCUUUAAUAA